AAAAAACACUAAUUGAUGGGUUAAUUUUGGGAAUCUUAUAUUUACCUUUGCUCAGAGAAAAGUCUACCUCUUUAAAAUUUUUUUUAGUGUUUAUUUUAUUAUUUUUGAGAGAGAGAGAGAGAGAGUACAAGCAGGGUAGGGGCAGAGAGAGAGGGAGUCAUAGAAUCCAAAGCAGGCUCCAGGCUCUGAGCUGUCAGCACAGAGCCUGAUUCAGGGCUUGAAUUCACAAACCAUGAGAUCAUGACCUGAACUGAAGUCGGAUGCUCAACAACUGAGCCACCCAGGUGCCCUAAAAGUCUACCUCUUCUAUGUAUUUACAAUCUGAGGGAGACACACUGAGGCAGAUAGACACCAAAAGGAAGUAGACACAACUAAUUAACAAACACUGGAUAAACACAAAUAGAUAAGAGUAAAUAUUGGCUUCGAAUUCUAUCACAUUUCACAGAAGAGAACCUUGUUCCCACAGACAGAGAGCCAUCAUUAUGUCCCAGCAUCCCUCGAUUCCGCAGGGAUUGAAAGUCCCCAAGGAAAUGUGAUGUGACCUGUGAUGUACCAUUUUGGACCAGUCAGAAGGUGUGAAGGGCUUCUAGGACUUUGUUUAAAAGGGCCAAUGGAAAUGAGGAAGGAGGAGAGGCAGUGUUUUGGCCCCUGAUUGGUCGAAGAGAGUGACAAAAUGGAGAAAAGGAGGAAAGAACCAUCAAAUCCUGCAGCUGCAUCUGGAAGAAGAAGACUAAGAUGUUCCAGGUUUAAUUACCAGAAUGUGGGAGGCGACCUUGGAAGAGCAGUUCCAGGAGGUCACCAUCUGGCCCUUGGACAACUCCCAGCCAAAAAGACCAGAGAUACAGAAAAGAUACAACAGACGGAGGAGUGGAUGGGGCAGCAUUCUGCAUUGUCAUGCUUCCUUCCUCUUUCUCUCCAGAACCUUGCCCUGAAAAAUUAUCUUUAAUAUAACAUACAAUGAGUCAGCUGUCUAGAUUACAAAACUACUUCAAUGUUUGAAAACAAAAUGGAACAGAAUAAAAUCUGGGCUUGAGAGUUUAGGGUGGAGGAG
rnacentral:lncRNA from 1 species